CUCGAUAAUAGUACCAACAUAAAUUGCUUCGCGUGUUAGGAGCCACUUUGUUGAGUAGAGGAUUGAUAUUCAAUAAUUUAAACUGACGUCUGGUUUGAAGGCCCUGCUUUCGAGACGUGUACUGCGAGUCCCACACGGAACCCAUCAACAAAUGCGCCGGAAACACAGUUAUUGUGCGGUGCAUGUGAUUGAUGCUACUGUGUUUGAUGCACUACGGAGCUAGAUUUUUAACUGACUACGUAAUGACAUAUAUAUUACGCGUGAUAUCAUGUCCGUUGAUAGCCGUGCACCAUAUUGGGUCAUGCUUAUCAUAAUACUUAAUGCAUUUGUCAUGGAAAAUUAAUCGUAGUGGAAAAUUUCAAAUCUGCAGGACCAGCGUUAGUAGGUUCAACAGAGUUUCUGCAUUUACAGAAAAUCACAAAUCAAAAAGUUUACUCGAAUGUGUCUAUGGAUUCUACUUUUACGAUAAAUUUGACAAAAUCUUUAGAAAAAUAUUGUAGAAAAAUUAAUGAAAUAUGAAGUUCGAUUGCGAUCAAAUUGUUUAUAAAAGCAAAUAUACUGAAAUAGUUAUUAAACAGAGCGAAUAAAAAUGUAUAUGUUUCGUAUUAUUUAUCUUAACUUUUAAAAAAAUACACGCAAAUUCUUUGAAAUAAAAUAUUUGGGAACGCUUAUGUCGACUUUACUGGGAAGAAAAAGGCAUAUUUUCCCCCAUAAGUGGAAAAUUUGGUAGCAUAAAUCAUCUUACACCUAAAUUUUGCUUAACUAAACUUCAGUAUGCCAUGCCAUUAUUACGGAAGUUUUCUCAGAAUUGUUUUCACGAAACCUCUUGUAAAAUCGAGUAAGAAAAAGAAAUAUGAGCAAAUAUACAAACUCAGUAAAAUAUUUUUGUGGUAUGUGUAUGGAUUCUGUUAUUUGACUUUGUUUAUAAUAACUUCGUCAGCAGUGCAACACGCUAGAAUUGUUAAUAUUGAUAAUGUUGCAAUUUCUUUUCAAUAAAAUUAUUUAUUUAGAUAUUAUCAGAAAAAAACUGGCCCUAAAACUAGUUAUCAGUAUAUCAAAUUAGUUUAUUAUGAGUAGGUAUAUCGGAUAUAACGUAGUUCUAUGGAAAACUAUCACAACGCAACCCCUGCAGUAUAUAAAUAUGUCCGUGUUCACUGACACAAAUGAACGUGUUAAUUACAAGCAUGUGUUGCCAGCAUAAUUCCCUUGCUAAUAGAAGCUAAGUGAAAAUUAUUGUUUUCCACAAGGGAUCCCCGAGUUAUUUAUCACAGAACUGACAACGAUCGAGCCUGGUUUACGACGUAAUAAUACUGAUAAUGAUGGCACGCGAACUGACUAAUUAUA